GUUGGAGGCAGGUGUGGAGCUGGUCUCUGCAGAGCAGACUCAGUAGGCUGCUGGCUCUCUCCCCUGCCAG
ensembl:miRNA Mir7087 microRNA 7087